rnacentral:rRNA from 1 species
UACGUAGGGGGCGAGCGUUGUCCGGAAUUAUUGGGCGUAAAGAGCGUGUAGGCGGUCCGGUAAGUCCGCUCUGAAAGUCCGGGGCUCAACCCCGGGAGGCGGGCGGAUACUGUCGGGCUAGAGUCCGGAAGAGGCGAGUGGAAUUCCUGGUGUAGCGGUGAAAUGCGCAGAUAUCAGGAGGAACACCAAUGGCGAAGGCAGCUCGCUGGGACGGUACUGACGCUGAGGCGCGAAAGCGUGGGGAGCAAACAGG